AUAGCUUUGUCUUUUCCAAACUGACUUAGAGUUGGAAUCACACAGUCAGUAGCCUUUUCAGAGUGGCUUCUUUCACUUGGUGAUAUGCAUCUAAGGCUCCUCGUGUCUGUGCGUGGCUCGAUAGUUCAUUUCUGUGUAGCACGGAGUGGUAUUCCAUCGUCUGGUUGUACCCAGUGCAUUUAUCCGUUCAUUCACUGAAGGACAUCUCGGAUGCUUCAGCGUUCUGAAAUUAUGAAUGAAGCUGCUGCAAACAUCUGUGUGUAGGUUUUUGUGUGGAUGUAGGUGUUUAACUCUUUUGGACCUUCCAGUACAAUGGUGAAAAGGAAUGGUGAGAGGGGACAUCCUUGCCUGGAUUCUGAUCUUGGUGUAAACAAGAGAACAGUGGACUGGAAAAAACACACCGAAUUCCGGAGGGCGAUAUUCAGAUUACCUGUGGGGGGGAGAACGGCCCUGGAGUGGAACCCAGAGGGCAGCAUUGUCUAAUGUUCCCUUUCUGGCUUUCUUUCUUUUUUUUUAAAAUCCUCACCUGAAGAUAUGUUUAUUGAUUUUAGAGAGAGGAGCAGGGAGAGAGGG